UCUUUCCUCCCGAGUGCUUGCACUCAAUUGGAAAGAGGAGUGGCGGACGGGUGAGUAACACGUGGGUAACCUACCCAUCAGAGGGGGAUAACACUUGGAAACAGGUGCUAAUACCGCAUAACAGUUUAUGCCGCAUGGCAUAAGAGUGAAAGGCGCUUUCGGGUGUCGCUGAUGGAUGGACCCGCGGUGCAUUAGCUAGUUGGUGAGGUAACGGCUCACCAAGGCCACGAUGCAUAGCCGACCUGAGAGGGUGAUCGGCCACACUGGAACUGAGACACGGUCCAGACUCCUACGGGAGGCAGCAGUAGGGAAUCUUCCGCAAUGGGCGAAAGCCUGACGGAGCAACGCCGCGUGAGUGAUGAAGGUCUUCGGAUCGUAAAACUCUGUUAUUAGGGAA
rnacentral:rRNA from 1 species